GAUCCUGGCUCAGGAUGAACGCUGGCGGCGUGCCUAACACAUGCAAGUCGAACGGACUGCUAUAAACGGAGAUUCGUCAAAGUUAGUAGUAAGUUAGUGGCGGACGGGUGAGUAACGCGUGGGUAACCUGCCUCAUAGAGGGGGAUAACGAUUGGAAACGAUCGCUAAUACCGCAUAAGCCCACAGUACCGCAUGGUACAGAGGGAAAAGAUUUCAUCGCUAUGAGAUGGACCCGCGUCAGA
rnacentral:rRNA from 1 species